AGAGUUUGAUCAUGGCUCAGGAUGAACGCUAGCGACAGGCCUAACACAUGCAAGUCGAGGGGCAUCGGGACGUAGCAAUACGUUGCCGGCGACCGGCGGAUGGGUGAGUAACGCGUAUGCAACCUACCCGUAGCAGGGGGAUAGCCCGUUGAAAGACGGAUUAAUACCCCGUAACACAGGGGCUCCGCAUGGAGAUUAUUGUUAAAGGGUCAUUUCUUUUUCAGGGAUGGUCCGGCUGCGGAUGGGCAUGCGUUCCAUUAGGUAGUUGGUGUAGGUAACUGCUCACCAAGCCGACGAUGGAUAGGGGAACUGAGAGGUUGGUCCCCCACACUGGUACUGAGACACGGACCAGACUCCUACGGGAGGCAGCAGUGAGGAAUUUUGGUCAAUGGACGCAAGUCUGAACCAGCCAUGUCGCGUGAAGGAGGACGGCCCUAAGGGUUGUAAACUUCUUUUGCAGUGGAAUAAAGUUUGCCACGUGUUGGCGAUUUGCAAGUACGCUGCGAAUAAGGAUCGGCUAACUCCGUGCCAGCAGCCGCGGUAAUACGGAGGAUCCAAGCGUUAUCCGGAAUCAUUGGGUUUAAAGGGUCCGUAGGCGGUCUUAUAAGUCAGUGGUGAAAGUUUGCAGCUUAACUGUAAAAUUGCCAUUGAUACUGUAGGACUUGAAUUUUUGUGAAGUAACUAGAAUAUGUAGUGUAGCGGUGAAAUGCAUAGAUAUUACAUGGAAUACCAAUUGCGAAGGCAGGUUACUAACAAAUGAUUGACGCUGAUGGACGAAAGCGUGGGUAGCGAACAGGAUUAGAUACCCUGGUAGUCCACGCCGUAAACGAUGGAUACUAGUUGUUUGGUUUUCGGACUGAGUGACUAAGCGAAAGUGAUAAGUAUCCCACCUGGGGAGUACGAACGCAAGUUUGAAACUCAAAGGAAUUGACGGGGGCCCGCACAAGCGGUGGAGCAUGUGGUUUAAUUCGAUGGUACGCGAGGAACCUUACCUGGGUUAGAACGUAUGAGCGAUGCAGCUGAAAGGUUGCAGGCCUGCGAAGGAGUUCAUACGAGGUGCUGCAUGGUUGUCGUCAGCUCGUGCCGUGAGGUGUUUGGUUAAGUCCAGCAACGAGCGCAACCCCUACCUUUAGUUGCCAUCAGGUAAAGCUGGGGACACUAGAGGGACUGCCUGCGCAAGCAGUGAGGAAGGUGGGGAUGACGUCAAAUCAGCACGGCCCUUAUGUCCAGGGCUACACACGUGCUACAAUGGUAACUACAGAGGGCAGCGACUAGGUGACUAGGAGCGAAUCUCGAAAAGUUAUCGUAGUUCGGAUUGGAGUCUGCAACUCGACUCCAUGAAGAUGGAUUCGCUAGUAAUCGCGCAUCAGCAAUGGCGCGGUGAAUACGUUCCCGGGCCUUGUACACACCGCCCGUCAAGCCAUGGAAGUCGGGGGUACCUGAAGUUCGUGACCAUAACAGGAGCGACCUAGGGUAAACUCGAUGACUGGGGCUAAGUCGUAACAAGGUAACCGUA
rnacentral:rRNA from 1 species